GCUCAACCGAAGAAGUGCAUCGGAAACUGGGAAACUUGAGUGCAGAAGAGGACAGUGGAACUCCAUGUGUAGCGGUGAAAUGCGUAGAUAUAUGGAAGAACACCAGUGGCGAAGGCGGCUGUCUGGUCUGUAACUGACGCUGAGGCUCGAAAGUAUGGGUAGCAAACAGGAUUAGAUACCCUGGUAGUCCAUACCGUAAACGAUGAAUGCUAAGUGUUGGAGGGUUUCCGCCCUUCAGUGCUGCAGCUAACGCAUUAAGCAUUCCGCCUGGGGAGUACGGCCGCAAGGCUGAAACUCAAAGGAAUUGACGGGGGCCCGCACAAGCGGUGGAGCAUGUGGUUUAAUUCGAAGCUACGCGAAGAACCUUACCAGGUCUUGACAUACUAUGCAAAUCUAAGAGAUUAGACGUUCCCUUCGGGGACAUGGAUACAGGUGGUGCAUGGUUGUCGUCAGCUCGUGUCGUGAGAUGUUGGGUUAAGUCCCGCAACGAGCGCAACCCUUAUUAUCAGUUGCCAGCAUUAAGUUGGGCACUCUGGUGAGACUGCCGGUGGCAAACCGGAGGAAGGUGGGGAUGACGUCAAAUCAUCAUGCCCCUUAUGACCUGGGCUACACACGUGCUACAAUGGAUGGUACAACG
rnacentral:rRNA from 1 species